GCUGCUUCAGCCCUUCCGCAGGCCUGGAACCGUCCAUGGUGCACUCUCUUGAUCCAGGAGCACUGUGGGGCAAAGAGGCUGGAGAAGUGAGCACAGAACUUUGGUAGAGAGCCCUGGGUUGUGUCUGCCGGACCAGUGUCUAUGGAAGAGAGAAGAUGUUGUAUCUUCUGGAAUCGAAGUUAUUGUUGCAAGCCACCACAUGGUGCUGGGAACUGAAUCUAGGACCCUGGCAAGAGCAGCAAGUAUUCCUAACCACUGAGUCUUCCCAUUAAUCUUUGAAAAUUCCUUUCGGUGUUGGAUAACUUUUCAAGACUAAGAUCCUGCACUUCAUCGGUUUCUUACCCUUUUCCAUAUUAUUGUGCGCGGAGCCAUUUUCUCCAUUCUGGACCGCACAUCUCCAGUAUGCAAACAUUACGUUGAUUUUUUUCCCUCCA